rnacentral:rRNA from 1 species
UACGGAGGAUCCAAGCGUUAUCCGGAAUCAUUGGGUUUAAAGGGUCCGUAGGCGGAUCUGUAAGUCAGUGGUGAAAUCUCCCGCUCAACGGGGAAACUGCCAUUGAUACUGCAGAUCUUGAAUUAUUGGGAAGUAACUAGAAUAUGUAGUGUAGCGGUGAAAUGCUUAGAGAUUACAUGGAAUACCGAUUGCGAAGGCAGGUUACUACCAAUGGAUUGACGCUGAUGGACGAAAGCGUGGGUACGCGAACAGG